rfam:Oryza barthii chromosome 8, whole genome shotgun sequence.
AAAACGGCAAACCCUAGGUUUCCGUGUCCAACUUUAAUUGUCCGUCUUAUAUGAAAUUUUUUUAUAAUUCGUAUUUUUAUUGUUGUUAGAUGAUAAAACAUGAUUAAUAUUUUAUGCGUGACUUGUCUUUUUAAUUUUUUCAUAAUUUUUUCAAAUAAGACGAACGGUCAAACGUUAAGCACGGAAACCAGGGUUUGUAUUUUUU